rnacentral:rRNA from 1 species
AUUGAACGCUGGCGGCAGGCCUAACACAUGCAAGUCGAACGAGUGGCGGACUGGUGAGUCCUGUCUGGGAAACUGCCUGAUGGAGGGGGAUCACUCCUUGAAACGGUAGCUAAUACCGCAUACCAUCGGAUGUGCCCAAGUGGGAUUAGCUAGUAGGUGGGGUAAAGGCGCACCUAGGCGACGAUCCCUAGCUGGUCUGAGAGGAUGACCAGCCACACUGGAACUGAGACACGGUCCAGACUCCUCCGGGAGGCAGCAGGGGGGAAUAUUGCACAAUGGGCGCAAGCCUGAUGCAGCCAUGCCGCGUGUAUGAAGAAGGCCUUCGGGUUGUAAAGUACUUUCAGCGGGGAGGCGUUACCCGCAGAAGAAGCACCGGCUAACUCAGUGCCAGCAGCCGCGGUAAUUC